UACAGAGGGUGCGAGCGUUAAUCGGAAUUACUGGGCGUAAAGCGUGCGUAGACGGUUAUUUAAGUCGGGUAGUGAAAGCCCCGGGCUCAACCUGGGAAUUGCAUUCGAGACUGAAUAGCUAGGGUACGGUAGAGGGAAGUGGAAUUUCCGGUGUAGCGGUGAAAUGCGUAGAUAUCGGAAGGAACAUCAGUGGCGAAAGCGACUUCCUGGACCAGUACCGACGUUCAGGCACGAAAGCGUGGGGAGCAAACAGG
rnacentral:rRNA from 1 species